AAUUUAUUUAGACAUAAUGUAAAGGUAGCCCUUUGUUCCAAAUCCACAGUCCUUAGACAGAGACCCCCAUGAUGUCAUUCUGUGGACAUUCCUUGCUCUGUGACAUCUCCAAAGUUGUUCUAACUUUUCAGACGUUCUGAUUCUACAGCAUAGAGCUUAUGCUUUCUGAGCUCCUUGGAUCUGGCCAAGAAUCUUGAGAGCAAAUAGGUUUCAUUU
rnacentral:lncRNA from 1 species